rnacentral:lncRNA from 1 species
GAAUGUUCUAAGGCAAAUAUUUUUUUGAAAAUCCUGGCUUAAGCUUUUCAAAUCCACCAUCUACUAAUUACAUCUACAGUUUCUUAGUCCUGCGAGCUUUCGAAACAUCAGCUAAUGGCCAGUUUUCUCAAAGUGUGAACUUUUUACCAUCUUAUCAGAAUCAUCUGAGCGUGUUUGUUAAAAAUGCAAAUUCCUGACCCACACGCCAAGUCUGCUGAAUUGGGAUCACCGGAAACUCUAAUGGGAAGUGGGACCUUGAGAGAGAAUUUUGAGUGUCCCAUGCUGGAUUCCUGUCUACACCCAAGGCCAAGAACUCAGAUGAUCUGAAAUGGGAGUGUCCUUGAUACAAACGAGGAAGGAGCCGAUGCUUGCUUUGGUAUGGACAGGAGGAGUUGCCAAGUUUAAUUAAGAGUAACAGUUCAUGAUGAAGCCUGAACAGAAGCAUUUGAAGACCUCUCAGGACCAGAACAAGUCAAGCGUCCAUUCGAUUUCCCUGUGCAUCCAUGAACAGAUCACUCUAUUCUUCCAAGAGAAAUCAUUC